AGAAAAGCCAAGAUCGGGAAGAGUACAAAGGCUCUGCUUGCUUAAGAGAGGAAAACCCUCGGCUGUAAGGUUUUCUGCAAUGCCCCUUUGGAAGGUCGCCCGUGAGCUGCUUCUGCGAAUAAAUAGUAGCAGAAGCCGGUUGCCAGCCGUUAAUGGAUUGAGAGCCGAGUAGUUUGCUGUAUGCAGCUGCUCGUGAAAAAAGGUGGUACCGCGAACAACUCCUUCGUCCUUUUG
rnacentral:ncRNA from 1 species